CCUACGGGUGGCUGCAGUGGGGAAUAUUGGACAAUGGGCGAAAGCCUGAUCCAGCCAUGCCGCGUGUGUGAAGAAGGCCUUCGGGUUGUAAAGCACUUUCAGUGGGGAAGAAAGCCUUGGGGCUAAUACCCUCGAGGAAGGACAUCACCCACAGAAGAAGCACCGGCUAACUCCGUGCCAGCAGCCGCGGUAAUACGGAGGGUGCGAGCGUUAAUCGGAAUUACUGGGCGUAAAGCGCGCGUAGGCGGUCUGAUAAGCCGGUUGUGAAAGCCCCGGGCUCAACCUGGGAACGGCAUCCGGAACUGUCAGGCUAGAGUGCAGGAGAGGAAGGUAGAAUUCCCGGUGUAGCGGUGAAAUGCGUAGAGAUCGGGAGGAAUACCAGUGGCGAAGGCGGCCUUCUGGACUGACACUGACGCUGAGGUGCGAAAGCGUGGGUAGCAAACAGGAUUAGAUACCCGAGUAGC
rnacentral:rRNA from 1 species